GUAAAUUAGGGCACGACUCUUUUUAUUAAUAUGCUAACAAUGUAACUAAUACAUAAAAUGAGCAGGCUCAAAAUGAAAAUAAAAAUAUCUGAUCAAAGAUUUGGUCCAACAAGGAACCAGAUCAAAUAAAAAAUAUCGCCCUAAAAGAUAAGGUUCCCUAAUUUAUUGACUUAGUCAAGACAAAAUGGCAUUGCAGAGGACCUUCUUCAACUCUGAAUUCAUCUCUUUUUGUGCAUCAUCAAUUAGACCAGACCACGUACUAGGGACGAGCUUAUCUUACAGCUCACAAAAUGAGUUGUUAGUCUGGGCAUUGAAUUCGAGAGUUGCUUAUUCGGUGGAGGUGUUCGAGUGCGGUUUCGGCAAUUGAGAUACUAGUUGGGGUACCUCACGUGGCAGUUGAUACUCUAGCGGAUUGUGUACUCUCAAAUUAGUGGUGAGGUCCCAGAAUUCGGAUCGUCACUAGUUUAUCCUUAUUUUUCAGUCUUUUGUAUCAUUCAGAGACUUAUGUUGUAUCUUCAGAUUCGAACCUUGUAUUAGAUGCUCUUUAUACUUAUGACACUAGG